GUAGGUGGCAAGCGUUGUCCGGAAUUAUUGGGCGUAAAGCGCGCGCAGGCGGUCCUUUAAGUCUGAUGUGAAAGCCCACGGCUCAACCGUGGAGGGUCAUUGGAAACUGGGGGACUUGAGUACAGAAGAGGAAAGCGGAAUUCCAAGUGUAGCGGUGAAAUGCGUAGAGAUUUGGAGGAACACCAGUGGCGAAGGCGGCUUUCUGGUCUGUAACUGACGCUGAGGCGCGAAAGCGUGGGGAGCAAACAGGGAUUAGAUACCCUGGUAGUCCACGCCGUAAACGAUGAGUGCUAAGUGUUAGGGGGUUUCCGCCCCUUAGUGCUGCAGCUAACGCAUUAAGCACUCUGCCCUGGGGAGUACGGCCGCAAGGCUG
rnacentral:rRNA from 1 species